CAAAAUGUAGCUAAAUUAGUAAAGCACCUCCCUUACACCGAGGGGAAGUCCAUGCAACUUGGAUCAUUUUGA
rnacentral:tRNA from 1 species